UGUAAAUUAAAUUGUUAUAAUUAAUAUUAUUUAACUUAUAAUUUUAGGAAAAUGGCGCUGCAUACGAAGCAGGAGGUCUUGAAGUUGGACAGUUGAUCUUAGAAGUCGACGGCCAAAAAGUUGAAGGAAUGCCUCAUCAAGAAGUAGCCAGGCUCAUCGCAGAAUCGUUUGCACAAACUGAUAAAUCCGAAAUCGAGUUCCUUGUAGUUGAAGCAAAGAAAUCGAAUUUGGAACCGAAACCUACCGCACUGAUAUUCUUGGAAAGUUAACCGGUUGUAAAAAACAUGAAUGAUGAUAUAAGUUCCUGUUUAUUAAGUACGGUGAUGAACCCCGAUAACGUGACGACCAUUAAUAAACUUGUUGAAAACACGCAAAACGUUUGUUUAAAUACAUUUAUUUAUUUGAUUAUUUAUAUUUAUCUACUAUAUAAAUUACAAGAUGACAUGUUAUUGAUUCAAUUUAAAAAAUAACAUUUCAUAUUUAAGUAUUUUUAUCCAAUAAUAUUAUUAUUUUCAAUAAUUCUCAUUAUUAUUCUUUAAUAAUUCAUUCUCUAUAUCAAUUUCAUUACGAAUAUCCAAUUUUAUUUUAUUGUACUCUUGUUCAAAUUGAUAUUCAGUAAAAAGAUAUAAUUAUAUUACGUCAUAUUAUUAUUAUUAUUAUUAUUAUUAUUAUUAUUAUAUGUUAUCUAAUAAUGUAUCAUGAAAUUGAUAGUGAAGUACAAUUCAUUUUCGAAUAACCGGCCUAUUAAAUAAUAAUAAUAUUAUCAUAGGUGUUAUGCAUACCGUACGACAUAAUAUUAUAUUAUAUUAAAUAGUAGGUAGGUACCAAUACCUACAAAUUGUGUACUAACAUAAUUCAUACAUAAUAAUAUAUAAUAUUAUGGCCUAGUAAAAUGUACAGGCCACACUACAGCUGUUAGACUUUGACACUUUGUAUACAAUUCUAAAAUAUAAUAGUACUUUUUAAUAUUAUAUUUUAGUUCACAGUUUUAAGUACCCUCGGUUUUCGAUUGGGUGUAAAAGCGGAUUGGCCUAUAUAAUUAAUUUAUCUGUUAUACGAGAGAACUAUAUAGUAUAAUAUACAGCAUACAUAUUAUAACAUAUUACAUUUUAUAUGUAAAGUAGUGGUCGAUAUAGAUAGCAGUAAUAAUAAUAAUAAUAAUAACUGGGGCCCUGUUUUUGAUAUCCAAAAAAACCUAUAAAAGAUAUUUUUUUCAAAAACAUUGUUUUGCAAUGACAUCAAACUAUGGGAGGAUAAAACUUUUCGAAAUAAUGAGUGCAGACACUUAAAUCCUCCCCCGAACUGCUCUUUGAGAGAAAACAUCAUCUCUUAUAUUCGAUUAUAAUAUAUAAUACAUAUAUCUACUAUAUAUAAAGUCAUAACUCUUAGGUAUAUUUUAUAAUAUGUAUGUGCACAUCCUCGAUCUCCCUGUUAUUCUAAGCCACUUGUCCACUUCGACUACUGACCAUAUUAUGAGUACCUAUGUUUAUAUAUUUUAUACUUCCUUUAUACGAUAUAAUGACCAUGACGCUAUGCUAUAAUAAUAUAAGUAAUUUUCCUCUGCGAACAUAACCGUCACAUAUAUAUAUUAAUAUAUUAUAUAUAAUAUUUUACAUUAUUAAAAGGUACGCCUUUAUAUUAUACGUUCGAAUUCCAUUCAGAUUAUUUUCAUUAUUUUUAAAAUUUAAUUACGUAUAAUAUUAUUAUUAUUAUUAUUAUUAAAUAGUUACAUAGUGACAAUAUAUAUUAUAAUAUGUAUGUGUCGUGUAGGUAUUUAUUGCGUUCGCUCGCGUAUUUAAUAUUUCUCUCUCUCUCUCUCUCUCUUUCUCAAUUUAUUUUUUUUUAAUUAAACUAGAACGAAUAGACGAUAUACAUAGUCAUGAUCAUACGCUGUUGUUUUUCAUUAUCGAUUUCAAGUUUUAUUCGGUACCUACGCUUAUCGCGUAUUAGUGUAGGUACUAUCAGUAAUUUUAAUAAUUUGGUGCUGUGUUAUUGUGCCACCUGGGGGAAGAUUUUAUGGUGACACUCUUUAUUAUUAGUUUAUCUUGUUUAUACGGAAAAACAAUCGAGUAAUAACAAUCACACUGUUACAAAUGUAUUUAUUCAUAGAGCCACAUUUUUAACUUAAGAAUAGUUGACAAUGAAACAACAUGUAGGUAUAUUUAUAAAAAAAUAUUAGUAUAUACGCGCACUAUGUUUAUAAUAAAUAUUAUAGAAAUUGAAAAUAUUUUUUUUUUUAGGAAUUCUGCUGAUUUUUAAUAAUUUUGAAGAACAUAAGAAAGUAUUAAUAAAAAAACACCUUUCGACAAUUUUUCCUCUCACAAAACUUUGUCACCCCAUGAAACUUCGUCCUCUCCCAAAACACGGCACCGUAGUUACCGUUCGUCACAGUUCAAUUAAAUUUAAAAAAGACUUAACUGCGAGUGUUGGUAUUUCGUUCUCAAACUAAAUAGGGGUUAAGAGCUCUGGGAACUUGGCUGGUGUAUUACAGGCGUAUAAUUAUACUAUAUACCUACAUACUGCAGCAGUAGGUAUAAUAGCUACAUAUUAUAAUAGGCUUCGCCCGUUACAUUAUUUUAGCUAAUCGAUAAAAAAAAUUGAUGAUAAUAAAUAUUAGCCAUACUUAGACCACCUAGCUAUAUAUUAUAUAUAGUAUUAUUCAUUGUGGUAUGCCGUAAAACGUUAACAACCGCAAUAUUAUAUUAUUAAAAUAUAUAUAUUAUUAUAUAUAUAUAUAUAGAACUCGACUCGAUAUUUUAUUUUAGAUACGUAACUAUUGUUUUUAUUUGUACAAAUUAAUUAAUACAUAUUUGUUGUUUGUUGGACAUAUUAUAUUAUACACGUGUAUAUAAAUAUAUAUAUAUAUUUAUUUAUACAGUAUUAUACGGAAUGUCCUACAAUGUUCUUGGUAUUUUCAAGUGACGGACUGUGUAGCUGGUACAUCUAGGACCACCUGUUAAAUACUUAAAUAUAUGUAUAUAUUAUACACACACGCACAUACACACACACAUAUAUAUAUAUAUAUAUAUAUACGUGUGUGUAUGUCUAUGAUAGGUAUAUUAUAUAUUUAUAUAUUGACACAAAAUGUGUAUUUUAAUUUACGAUGACAAGUAAUAUUUGAGCCUGUAUUUUUGGUACGUUGUAUAACACGCACUAUACAUUAUUAUGUUGCAUGUUUACUAUUUGUAGUCGUAAUUAAAUUGUUACUAAAAAAUAUAUUAAUAAUUAC